CACACACACACACACACACACACACGACCUUCAUUGUACCCCAGUAUACUGCCUUCUUAAAAUGGUACAUUGAAUAUACAGGCCCAACCUUCUGUGGGCACAAACAACUUUUACGCUUAACACAUCUAUAUUUAAAGGAUUUCUCAGGGGCUUUAAAGUGUAAUUGGACAAGCAGGUGGUUUAAUCCAGUAUGUUUGUAACCUCAUGCUUCAUUAACAAAGCAGGUGUCUCCCUCCAAUGUUUCUCGCAUGGAUGAUAUAAACUUGUACCCAGCACAGGUCAAAGAAGGUGCCUAAGAAUAGUCUCCCAUAGGUCCUAAAAAUAACUUAUUCAUACCUUAGAGGUAUCAUCGCCUUCAUCUUCAUGCACUGAACUGGAUGGUGAAGGAGUUGCAGACUUGCUUCCAGGUGGAGAUGUUCCUGCUGGCAAAAACGUGGAGGUGAUGGAGAGAGCUAGGGAAAAUAUCUUGGACCAAGACAUGGCACCAUAAGGACGCUGAAGGCACAAGAAAGGAGGCUGAGGGUGUGAUUAUUCUGGAGCCUGGACAACCUACUUACAGUGGGAGUGAAAGGGAAGUAAAUGUCUGUCAUUGCAGAAUUACUGACAUUUGGGGUUUUCUGUUAUAGGCAGCCCAACAUAAUCCUAACUGAUACACCCUAACAGAUUAUAAACUUUAAAAAGCUGGGAGAGAAUUUAUUUUGUUCACCAUUAUAGCCCUAGUAUCUAGAACAGAUCUUGGCACGUAGUAGGAACUCAAUACAUAUUUCUUGAGUUAACACUGAAUAGAUGUUUAGGUCUGGUACAAUUAGAAUUGAUGAUGCCAGCUUCACAUAAAUAGUUGUUAUAAAUCCUUAAUCUUUUGGGAACUUCAUUUGCUAAAUUCUAGGGCUCAAAUGUCUCAAAGGUAAUUUCUCAUGUGUGUGUUCCUCAUUUUGUUUAUUUUCAAGCCUAAUGAACUUCAUAUUUUCUUGGCAAAAUGUCCUGCAUGUCAUUGGCAUUUUAGUGUUGCGUGGCUCUUAAUAUUUAUCUCACCAUUUGCAAAACUCUGUCCAUUUGAAAAUGGGUGCUAGGUUUCACUUUUUUGGAAGACAGAUCUGUUUCCUAAAAAUUUACAUUGCUAUUGAUGACCAUUGUCAAUUAAAAUAAUGAAGGGGUAUUAUAAUGAUGAAGAGGAGAUUUCAAUUUUUCCAAUUAAUGCAAAACAAAAGUCCCAUUAAAAUCAAUUAGGAAGCCAAAGCUGAAGUCAUGUAUUGUCCCUCAUGACCUGCCUUGAUGCUAAGGCCAUGUUCCUUUCUCCCCUUGUCUGGUUACCUAGAGCUGAAGAGUGCCACGUUGAGGACAGAGCUCAAGGUGCAAACAUGAGGCACAAUAUUAGCUACAUAUUUCAGCAUAUGUUUUCACUUUCUUUCCUUUGAUUUUCUUUCUUUUUUUUUUCUUUGAGAUGGACUCUUACUCUGUCGCACAGGCUACAGUGCAUUUGCACGACAUUGGCUCACUGCAACCUCCGCCUCCCAGGUUCGAGUGAUUCUCCUGCCUCAGCCUCCUGAGUAGUUGGGAUUACAGGCAUGUGCCACAACACCCAGCUACUUGUUGUAUUUUUAGUAAAGACAGGGUUUCACCAUGUUGGUCAGGCUGGUCUUGAACUCCUGACCUCAGGUGAUCCACCCACCUCGGCCUCCC
rnacentral:lncRNA from 10 species